rnacentral:rRNA from 1 species
ACCCCACUCAUCUCUCCCCCCGUGCUCCUCCAUCCCACGACCCGCCCCACCCACUCCUCUCUGCCCCGUGCUCCUCCAUCCCAUGGCGCCGCCGCCUCCCUCCCCGCGCCCCCGCUGCAGCGCCACCGCCUCCCUCCCGGCGCCCCCGCUGCAGCGCCACCGCCUCCCUCCCGGCGCCCCCGCUGCAGCGCCGCUGCCUCCCUCGCCGCGCCCCCACUGCAGCACCGACGCCGCCCUCGCGCACCCGCGUAGCCGUCUCCCCAGCGCCCUCGUGACCCGCGCGCCUCCGCGCCGCUCGGGCCAUGGAUCCGGCCAUGCCGCGGCGGUCAGGCGACGGAUCCAGCCCCGCUGCACCGCCCAGGCGCCGGGGUCGAGCGCCGCCGUUCCCCAGCGCUGUCCCGGCGACUGCCCCCAACCCCCUCCAACUCCCCUCGUCCUUGCCCCCCGAGCAGCAACAUGGAUCCGGCGGGCGGCGCACACCCUUACCUCCACCAGCCCGAGCGCCCCGCUGGCGUGCCUCCAGCACUGGCUCUGCGCGGCGCAGCAGUCCACUCCUCCCACGCCGCCCACACCCUCCCAUCUACCGGAUCAGGUCGCGGCUCCCCUCGUGGUCGUAUCUUCCUCCCCUGCGGCAGCUCCACCCCGGCCCCAGCGGAACCACUCCUCUGGCUCAAGAUCCAUGGAGUCUGGCGACCACGGACGUGCAGCUCGCAGGCAUGAGAUGUGGUUCAGUGCUCCUGUGGGUGUAGUUCAUGAGCGCGCCGGUGACGAUGGCAGCAAGGCAGUGCACUCCGGUAGUUGCCGUGGUGCACUCUGGUGGCCGUUGUGGUACAGCUCAGUGGCUGGCCAGCUUGGUGACGCGACAGGUGCAGUCAGCUGAGCAGACACUCUUCUCCAAGCGAGAAGAGGAGGGCGAUCUUGGUUCCUGUCCACGUGCAGUUUCAGGCGAUGCGCCCAUGCGGUGUGGAGCACAUGUGCAUGUAGUCCGUCGGCCAUGCGUGUAGUACAGGUCGCAUACUGGUGUAGUUCGUCGCUGAACCUGUGUUGUAGUUUUAGGUCGCAUAGUGGCGUGUGUGAUGCAGUUUUGUGUCUCCUCUCGGGUGGACACAUAGCUGCACCCCAUAUCGCCCAGUACUGUAACCCCUUCUUCCUUUACUUAUUUUUUGCAGGAAAGAAAGUGGUGCAUUUCGGUUGGAUGUCCCGUUGGAGUUUGACCUUGUGCCAUUUCAGAUUAUAUUGUGCAGUGCAACAUGAGUUUCUCUGCUUGGGGUGCUCUGGUACAGUAUAUACUUGUAUGGCUGUGUAAAAAAUAUAUGAAUUUGUGUUUUGAGCAUUCUGAAGCACUGAUGUUAUUUUUUUACUUCGAGAAAACAUGAUGUGGUCCAUUAUGUGGUGGUUGGUAGUUUACUUUGUUAGAAGGGAGAAAAAGAAAUUCACGUGAGAGGUUCACUUCUUUUUCGAAUGAAGAUUAUUUUUGUGGGACUAUCGAAAAAUAUGGAGUUGAGGUUCACUAGCAAAAAUUAAUGUGGUUCACUUCUGAGAGUGUUACAGUGCAUUUUCAAUAGUGGUCUGGUUCACUUGCACCCG